rnacentral:rRNA from 1 species
UACGUAGGGUGCAAGCGUUGUCCGGAAUUAUUGGGCGUAAAGAGCUCGUAGGCGGUCUGUCACGUCGGCUGUGAAAACCCGGGGCUCAACCCCGGGCCUGCAGUCGAUACGGGCAGACUAGAGUGCGGUAGGGGAGACUGGAAUUCCUGGUGUAGCGGUAAAAUGCGCAGAUAUCAGGAGGAACACCGGUGGCGAAGGCGGGUCUCUGGGCCGUAACUGACGCUGAGGAGCGAAAGCGUGGGGAGCGAACAGG